GAAAAAGUGAGCUUCCUACCAUGCAGCCAAAUUAUGUCUUUUUGUUUCUUCUGAUGAGUAACAUCCAUGUCUGAAACAAAACCAAGACACUAGGAGGUGCUGAUGUACCAAGUCGUCUGUUGCUAUGGCAACCGUACGCAAUCUCCAACUCAGGAUCUGCCCAUGAGAAGUUCCCCCUCUGCAUUGCUGUGACAAUUUUGAGCCAAGUUCAUUACCAGUCACCAAUUCAAACAAAACAGAGUUUACUGAAAAGGUGAGCAUUUUCCUUAUUAAAAUAUAAUUUAUGAUCCUACUAUUUUUCAGAAAUCAUAAAUCAAUAAAUUAUUGCUUUUAAGACAAAACAAAUAACUAUAGUAUGCUACUGCAUCUCCAGCUUUUUUUUCAGUGGGUGAUUACUAAAGUGUGGCCAUUCCAAAAUAUUUGGGGUAAAUGUGGCCUGACUCUAAGCAAAUAUGGAUUUUUGUUUUUCUUGUUUAUUGAUUUGGAACUGUUCUAAAAGUGCACAAUCAAAAUGUGAAUGAAUUUGUUUUGAGUCAUGCAGCAUCAGUUAUUAAGUAUUUGAUUCUGAAGCUGUAAUAAUUGAGCAAACUAUACAAUAUAAAAAUAAUUUCAUACAGUAAAAUGAAAUAUUUUCUUUCUUUGGUAGACAGACUUGCAAUUUGUUCAAGAUUGUGAUCACCUAUUCGUAACAAAGAAUAUAGUUUUUUCUUCAAUAAUCGGAUUAAAAUUGUGAAUUAAAAAAGCUGAAAAUUGUUUAUUUUAUGAUUGGUAUUAGCUUAUCUUGGAAUCACGGAAUACUGCUUUUAAGUUGAAAGCUAUAUUGCCUAAGGGUACAUAACAUUAUGUGAAUGAAAAAAAGCAGGACAAAUGGAUUGAAUUUAACAAGUUAAUACACCUAUUGGAGAAUAUACAAAUUAGGAUUAUGAUUGCAGUACUUCAAAAGCGUUCUGUAUUUAUUGAUAAACCUUUCUCAUUCUCUAUUAAAAAAGUACAAUAAUCAUGAUUCAAUAUUUGUUAAAAUGUAAAAAUAACAACAAUUUCCUAUUAAGAUGAAGCCUUGCCCAAUGAAUAGUAGGUUUGAAUAAAAGGAUAAACAUCAAACAAUUAUAUUUCUGAAAAAGAAAUCAGCAUAAAAUAUAGAGUAUUUAAGUUUUGCUCAUUAAAAAAUGGUAUUCGCAUCACAGACAAUAUGCAAAUGAAAUAGCUGAUGAUGACAUUCACUCACUAUUCUCUUUUGAAAAAUGAAAUAUUUCCUUUUUCCCUCCAAUUAUGUGGAAGUUAGUUUCAUCAAAUAUGGAAAAUGUACAUCAUCAGUAUAUUGAUUUGGCAGA